CCUACGGGUGACAGCAGUCGAGAAUCAUUCACAAUGGGGGAAACCCUGAUGGUGCGACGCCGCGUGGGGGAAUGAAGGUCUUCGGAUUGUAAACCCCUGUCAUGUGGGAGCAAAUUAAAAAGAUAGUACCACAAGAGGAAGAGACGGCUAACUCUGUGCCAGCAGCCGCGGUAAUACAGAGGUCUCAAGCGUUGUUCGGAAGCAUUGGGCGUAAAGCGUGCGUAGGCUGUUUCGUAAGUCGUGUGUGAAAGGCGCGGGCUCAACCCGCGGACGGCACAUGAUACUGCGAGCCUAGAGUAAGGGAGGGGGAACCGGAAUUCUCGGUGUAGCAGUGAAAUGCGUAGAUAUCGAGAGGAACACUCGUGGCGAAGGCGGGUUCCUGGACAUUAACUGACGCUGAGGCACGAAGGCCAGGGGAGCGAAAGGGAUUAGAUACCCUAGUAGUC
rnacentral:rRNA from 1 species